rnacentral:rRNA from 1 species
AUUGAACGCUGGCGGCAGGCUUAACACAUGCAAGUCGAGCGGAGAUGAGGUGCUUGCACCUUAUCUUAGCGGCGGACGGGUGAGUAAUGCCUAGGAAUCUGCCUAUUAGUGGGGGACAACAUUCCGAAAGGAAUGCUAAUACCGCAUACGUCCUGCGGGAGAAAGCAGGGGAUCUUCGGACCUUGCGCUAAUAGAUGAGCCUAAGUCGGAUUAGCUAGUUGGUGGGGUAAAGGCCUACCAAGGCGACGAUCUGUAGCGGGUCUGAGAGGAUGAUCCGCUCCAUUGGGACUGGGACACGGCCCAGACUCCUACGGGAGGCAGCAGUGGGGAAUAUUGGACAAUGGGGGGAACCCUGAUCCAGCCAUGCCGCGUGUGUGAAGAAGGCCUUAUGGUUGUAAAUCACUUUAAGCGAGGAGGAGGCUACUGAGACUAAUACUCUUGGAUAGUGGACGUUACUCGCAGAAUAAGCACCGGCUAACUCUGUGCCAGCCGCCGCCGUAAAAC